CCUACGGGUGGCAGCAGUGAGGAAUAUUGGUCAAUGGUCGGGAGACUGAACCAGCCAAGCCGCGUGAGGGAUGAAGGUACAGAGUAUCGUAAACCUCUUUUGUCAGGGAACAAAGGCGGGGACGCGUCCCCGGAUGAGUGUACCUGAAGAAAAAGCAUCGGCUAACUCCGUGCCAGCAGCCGCGGUAAUACGGGGGAUGCGAGCGUUAUCCGGAUUUAUGGGGUUUAAAGGGUGCGCAGGCGGUCUGUUAAGUAAGCGGUCAAAGCCCGGGGCUCAACCCCGGCCCGCAGUUGAAACUGGCAGUCUCGAGUUGGAGAGAGGUAUGCGGAAUGCGCGGUGUAGCGGUGAAAUGCAUAGAUAUCGCGCAGAACUCCGAUUGCGAAGGCAGCAUGCCGGCUCCACACUGACGCUGAGGCACGAAAGCGUGGGUAUCGAACAGGAUUAGAUACCCUAGUAGUC
rnacentral:rRNA from 1 species